CCUGGUUGAUCCUGCCAGUA
rnacentral:ncRNA from 3 species